UAUCUGUUUGUCUCUCUCUCUUUUUCUUGAGACAGGAUCAAGAUGUGUGUAGUUCAGUUUGGAUUAGGACUCACCAUGGAGUCCUGGCUGGUGUCAAAUUUAUAACAACCCUCCUGCCUCAGUCUCCUCAACUCUGGGAUUACAGUUCACUCCAGAGUGUUCCUGGAGCCCACCUGCUGGUCGGUGGAGCUCACCCCUGUUAAACUCCCCAGGGCCCAGACUCCAGCCUCUCACCUGGAUGAUCCUCUCCAGCUGUGCUUCUGAGUUGUGAUCUCCUGGAGACAGUGACUGCUCUUGGGCAGCUGAAGAUAAUAUACCAAGGGGGCUGGGAAAAGUUAAAGGAACUGACGGAUUGAGUGACAAAGCAGGAAACAAAAGCUCCCCGUGGUUCACAAUGACCACAUGAAUGCACGGACACUGGGGGAGUGGCUUCAGAAGGAGGUGUGCUUGAGUGUUUUGUUCAACCUCCAACCUCUCUAUGGUUCAGCAGAGGUUCAGCUCCCUCAGCACCAAAACUUGUGGAUUGGGUGCUGAGGACCUUCUCCUUUGAGCUGUCAAGAUAAAGACCAGGGAAAUGUUGAGGUGAGAAGAUUCUAUAGUGAGAAAUGACAGGCAUAGAUGAAGAGGAAAGAGACACAAACCAGCAAGACACACAGAGGAAAAGGAGAAAGAGAAGGUCAGACAACUGUAUGGGACCAAGCACUCUCCACACAGCCACCAAGGUCAAGACCAGUCCCCUGAUCACCAGAUUGUACAAGCUGUUUUACAGGAUUCUAGCCCAGCAAGGUUUUCAGUCUUCAGAAAAUUUUAAUUAAGAUUGGAGAGUAUUUUGGAUAAAUACAUGAAGACUGAUUCAGAGACAGAGUUUCCUCCACAUUCCUGGCUCUCCAAAGAAGAUAGAGCCCGGCACCUGAUUCCUGGACCCUGAUAUUCACAGGACGGAUGCUCUGUCUCCCACAGAAGGUUGGAGCUGGGGGAAUAUCCAGACCUGGAUGUUUCUAAGAGCCUACUGCUAUCACGUCUUCAGUACCUUCAGGAAAGUGGUCGGCAAAGAAAAACCUGAAUCUUUUGAGGAAUAUGGAGUGAGGAGCACAAGUCUGGAAGAAUCAGACCGCCUGCGAUGGAGGUCACAUUUUAGUGGUGCUACUUUCUACGUGGGAGCAUGACACAACUCGAGUAACCAGUUUGUCUCCAUUUUCUCGCCAAUGCAAUGGUUACAUUCAUUAUAACUCAAUUAUUCAAUAUUUAUAAUAUCACAGUUUUAUUCAGCACGUUGCACAUGUAAACACAUGCGGUCUGCGGGAGGCCCUGAGAUGAGCUGUGUACAGUAAAGGCAGCUGUCCAGUGUGGAUAGCGUUCAUAAAAGGCAGCUACUGCUGUAAGGAGCGUUGCUGUUGAUGGACCUUCAGCAUCACAACACACAGCCAAGCAGUGAGUCCCAGGGAUACAGUGCACAGAAUGGAAAGGACUAUGUCAUGGGUUUGUGAAACUCACAAGGUUGACUGCAGAUUUACAUGCCUUUUCUCCUUUAAGCCUUACUUGGAAGUUAGUCUUCACCACAAAACAUAUCCGUUCUGCAAGGAGGCAAGUUGGAGCUCAGGGACCUUGGCUAAGAACUCACACUAGGGAGGUUUAAGAGAAGGGAUUAAAAUACACAUUUAUACAACUCGAAAUCCCAGUAGUCUUUCCAUAAUAAUAGUGAAUUUGAACAGAAGGUGAUUUUGCUUCCUAAGAGAAACUUUGAUCAUCAUCAGUGCAAGGAGGUGGCUAUCAGUAUCUAGUGGAUGGAGGCCCAAGGACCUCUUAAAUACCCUGCAGCACACAAGACAAUCCCACAACAAAUCUCUACAGGAUCUCACAUGGGUGUCCCAUAGAAGGCCCCAACUAAAGGAGGAAAGAUGAGAAGAGGCUAAGAAGAGAAAGAAGGAAGAAAAUAAUCAUAUCAGGACACAGUCAAACCCAGGCAGCCCUGAGGAAACCUCUUUCAAAAGAGGCUGCUAAAGCAGUAGUGUUGGGAUUGGUUAACCUGCUUUCCAAAUCUCGCUGGACAGGAUACUGAAGGAGAUGUGGAGCUGUAGUUUCUGUUGGGUAAAGGAGACAUGACAGUGGCUGUCCUGGGACAUUAUUAUGGAUAUUAAAUAAAUAAAUCUUCAGUAGUUGCUACUUCCAGGCUGUGCUAAUUGAAGCAUUCCUCCACUGUUCACUAUUUGUGUGACGCUCAGCAGGCCUCACAGCUUCUCUGAAUACCCAUUUAUUCUUCCAGAAACUAAAAAUAACAAACACUAUAGAGAGAUGUUGUAGAUCAAACUUGUCCCUGGUGUAAACACUCAAUAGAGUCCAUGGUCUCUAAUGAGAGUCCCACAAAUAUUAAGAGAAUUUACUGUUCUCAUAUUGUCUAUGACACAGAAUCCCGAUGCUAUGCAAAUUAUUUGCCUCCCAAAGAUGAUUUCAAGCAGGGACAGGGAAAUGCACCAUGUUGAAAGCAGAGGUAUGGGUUCUUUGCUGAGUUCUUCUUUCACAGAAUCAAGAUUGUAAUGUGUUACAACAUAGUACCAAUGAGUGUUCAAGAUUGUUUUCAACUAUAAACUCUAGGCAACCAGGCAACUCUAAACUAACUGAAAUAUUGACCAGGCAGUAGUGCUAAGACUCUCAUAGUGGGAAGGGACAGGGGAAGAGAUACUAGCUGAAACUUGGGGCUGUAGGACAGUGCAGAGGUGUCUGUGCUAAGACUUGAACCUCCCGAGUUUGAGUCUAGUGCUGGUCUCAUAAUGUGACACUGCCUCAUCUUACUCUGGCCCAUAUGACAAUAGUGUAGCUUUUCUGCUGGUGUUCAGAGCUUGUAACUGACUUGGAUGAGGGGGAGGUGCAUGCUGAUGAAUGUGAGACCAUGGAGAAGGUCGAUUUAAUGGCCAUGUGUUGAAGGGGCUCAGGUUUGCCCCUCAUCUUACACUGAUCCGACUUCCAGCUUUGUCUCACCUUGAGCCACACCCUUGACUAACUGCUCUAGAAAAAUACUUGUCUCUCCUGACUUAGGGGAAAGAAACAGACUUGAGGCUCGUAUUGGUAGCCCCUCUUUUACCCCAACUUGUGUCUGAGCUAAGCAGAAUUGGGAAAAGAAUACCAGACAUGAAUGGUGUUGAGUCUUAGGUCUUAGAUAAGACAGUAUAAAUUAAUAUAAGACUCCUUACUUCAACAUUAAGUAAAAUUUUUGGUGCAGAGUCCUUGGAUUUGAAGGAGGGACACUUGUGUUAAAUUCAUGGUAGACUGAGGUGCAUCCCCACAAACCUCCUUUUUAUUUUGAGACUGUUUGGCUAAUUUGCUUAGGCUGGCUUUGAACUUGUAAUCUUUAUAUCUCAGCCUUUGAAGUAGCUGCACUGCCACACUCAGCCAGUUCCACAAAUUUUUAAAAAUAAGACUAUGGAAGUGUCUUUGUGUCCCUAGUCUAGUAUGAUUUUUUUUGUGUGUGUCUUAAAAUUAUGAGUGGUUUUUUGAUUUCAUUAAGUGCAUCUCUACUCAUACUAAGAUCAUUAUAUCACUUUUAUCCUUUUAUGGAUGUGUUCAUAAAUUAAUUUUUUUGUCUUUUUCCUUUUUAUCGGUACCAGGGAUCGAACUCAUGACUGCCAGCUUGCAAGGCAGACGCUUAUGCCGCUGAGCUAAAUCCCCAGCCACCCAUAAAUUAAAUUAAAUUUUUGAAUGAUCAGCUAUCCUUGCACUGUUAGAUUGAAGCACAUUCAUUUAUGAUAUUUUUCUGGUGCGUUUCCUAACUUUAUAAUCAGCCUCAUUUGAUUUGCUUAACACAUAUGUAUCUAUAUGUAUCUAUAUAAAGAUGGUUCUGUUGCUUUAUUUUCCUCUGAAGUCCUUGUUUUGCAUCAAGCUUAUACAGGUUCCUAAAAGGAGUCAAGAGCUCUCUGAUUGCAUCUUCCUGACUUCCACUCUGGUGUUGCAUCUUCCUUAAAUGUUUGGAAGAAGUCACCAGUUAAGCUGGAAGGGUCAUAGGUUUUCCUUCUGAGAAAGGUUCAAUUUCUUUGAUAGUCACUUGAUUAUUUAGUUUUGUUUCUCUUUUAGUUCAAGAAAACUAAUUUUUAAGUAGUUUAGUAAUUUUACAAAAAACUUUCUAAUGUAUUGGAAUGAAAUAAUUAUAUGUGAAAGUUGAUAGUUUCUUUCAAAUAAUGAGAAUGUAAGCUCUCUGAAGGCAGAAAUUUUUCUCUGUAUCAUUCACUGAUAAACACUAUGUGUAAAAGACUGUUAUAUUUAUUUAAUUAAUGAAUAAUAAAAUUUAUUAUUGAAUUAAUAAAUAAAUAUUUGUUGUAUAAAUGAA